rnacentral:rRNA from 1 species
UGGGGAAUAUUGGACAAUGGGCGCAAGCCUGAUCCAGCCAUGCCGCGUGUGUGAAGAAGGCCUUUUGGUUGUAAAGCACUUUAAGCGAGGAGGAGGCUACUUGGAUUAAUACUCUAGGCUAGUGGACGUUACUCGCAGAAUAAGUACCGGCUAACUCUGUGCCAGCAGCCGCGGUAAUACAGAGGGUGCGAGCGUUAAUCGGAUUUACUGGGCGUAAAGCGUGCGUAGGCGGCUUCUUAAGUCGGAUGUGAAAUCCCUGAGCUUAACUUAGGAAUUGCAUUCGAUACUGGGAAGCUAGAGUAUGGGAGAGGAUGGUAGAAUUCCAGGUGUAGCGGUGAAAUGCGUAGAGAUCUGGAGGAAUACCGAUGGCGAAGGCAGCCAUCUGGCCUAAUACUGACGCUGAGGUACGAAAGCAUGGGGAGCAAACAGG